rnacentral:rRNA from 1 species
AUUAGAUAGAUGGCGGGGUAACGGCCCACCAUGUCAACGAUGGGUAGCCGAGCUGAGAGGCUGAUCGGCCACACUGGAACUGAGACACGGUCCAGACUCCUACGGGAGGCAGCAGUGGGGAAUAUUGGGCAAUGGGCGCAAGCCUGACCCAGCAACGCCGCGUGAGGGAAGAAGGCUUUCGGGUUGUAAACCUCUGUCCUUGGUGACGAAAAAAAUGACGGUAGCCAAGGAGGAAGCCCCGGCUAACUACGUGCCAGCAGCCGCGGUAAUACGUAGGGGGCGAGCGUUGUCCGGAAUUACUGGGCGUAAAGGGUGCGUAGGUGGCCUUUUAAGUUGGAUGUGAAAUACCCGGGCUUAACCUGGGGGGUGCAUCUAAUACUGGGAGGCUAGAGUGCAGAGAAGGAAAGCGGAAUUCCUAGUGUAGCGGUGAAAUGCGUAGAUAUUAGGAGGAACACCAGUGGCGAAGGCGGCUUUCUGGACUGUAACUGACACUGAGGCACGAAAGCGUGGGGAGCAAACAGGAUUAGAUACCCUGGUAGUCCACGCGGUAAAC